ensembl:lncRNA novel transcript
GAACCAGGGGGCCGUGCCAAAGAUGCAGCACUGGGAGGAGGACACCAUCAGGCUGGAGCUCAGGGAGGAGAUGAAGGUGAAGCUGCUGGAGCUGCAGCAGAUGGUAUUGCGGCUUACAGCAACUACAACAAUGGGCACAGAAAAUUCCUGGCCGCUGCCCACAACCCUGCUGAUGAGCCCGGUCCAGGAGCCCCAGCCCCCCAGGAGCUUGGGGCUGCAGACAAGCAUGGUGAUCUUUGUGAGGUGAGCCUCACCUCCUCUGCCCAAGGAGAGGCCAGGGAGGAUCCUCUCCUUGACAAGCCUACUGCACAGCCGAUCGUGCAGGACCACCAGGAGCACCCAGGCUUGGGCAGCAACUGCUGUGUGCCAUUCUUUUGCUGGGCUUGGCUGCCAAGAAGAAGGAGAUAAACAUCACCAUCAUCAAACAGCUGCUCAAGAAAUUUUUAAAUAAGAAACCAAGUUAUGGGGUUAAUCUCCUACACAAUUCAUUUACUUCCUUUGAAUGUUAGAGUCACUCAUGAUUAUUUGUGUUUCUAAUUUAUAGUUUAAGUUUAUUUAUAAAAAGUUAAAAGAGAGUGGGUGUCUGUGGCUCUCACUGAUGUUCACUCUGGCAUCCUUUUAGCAUUUUUCUUUUUUAAUUUCAUAAUUGUAGGUCAUUAGCAUGCAUAUCGAGUUUGCCCUUACGUGGUGGGAGUUCAAACACACAAAGACCCACUCUUUGCCCAAAACUGUUCUCGCUGGUUUGGAAUAGGCUGCCAUGCUUUUUUAAUGUUAUUGCAGCAUGUAUAUUCACUACAGAAUUCAGACAAAAUUUGCCUAUGUUCUGCUGUUGUUUGAUCUAAUCUUAAUCACAGUGAGCUCUUCGUUAGCUCAAUAUGUAGUUUGCCCCCAAGUGUGCACUGUUUAUUACUUUGUAAUAUGCCACUAUGAGUACUGACAUUUAGAGUUGUUUAAAGGCCAAGAACUGGAAACAGCCUUUCCUCCAUUUUCUGUGUAUUGGUGAUGGGAGUGAUAACCUUUUGGGGGAGCUUUUUAAAUCUCACAGAAGAGGAAAGUGGCCUCCUCUGGCAGGUAUGUGCAGGAUAGAGUGUGUUUCAUCUGUUCCGGUGCCAGGAAUUAGCAGUGUAUUAUGAUGGUUCCCUUAGGAUUUCUAUGUGCUCUGGGCUCAUGAAGAUAUUGCAUCAUGAGCUGCAGCAGUUGCACUCUUUUUGGAUGACCUAAAAAGGGCUUAUUUCUGAGGAAUGAAAGGUUCCCAUCGUUGACUGUGGAUGUGGAAAACCUUUCCUAGCUUAGAGCAUUUGUAUCUACAAUACAUUUUAAAGUCAGAGUUCAUGUUACCUGUUUUAAUCACAUGACUACAUGUCCCAGUACACAAAAGGGCACUGGUUGGCAUUCUUCUUAAUGUAUUUAGUGAAGAUCAUAACAAAUCCUUUAUGAGUUCAAACGUCCCUGGAACAGGCAUACAGGCUCUAGUCAAGAAUGAAUUAGAGUGAAGGAAAGCUGUGUGACACCUGGAAUUCCUCUCUGUUCACGGAUAUUCUUUGAGGCUUGAAGAUUGAUUUUACCAUCUAGACCUCUUUGGCUAAUACCUAUUCUUCAACCACCUUGGUUACUCUGACAUAGGAAUUUACUUCCUUUUCCUUGAAUGGAAAACACUUUAAAAAAUAAUAGAAACAUUAUUAUAAACUAAUAUAUGUGAGAUACUUAGUUGAAACAAAAAGGAGUUUUAGUAGACGGUAUUAUACUAUCUUUGAAAAUCAAGGAGAAGUUUAUGAAACUUAAAAUGUGUACAAACUGCAGUGCAAUCUACUGUUCGUGAAUGUCAAUGUAUUAUCAGGAAACGUGUCUAUACAAUCACAGAGUUAUAUUUUCUCACAGACUUCUUUACAAAGUGAAAUAUGUUUUUGUACCUCUGGGUUUCUGUUC